rnacentral:lncRNA from 1 species
UGCUGAAUAAAAAUAAAAGUAUAAAAACUGAAAGAAGAAAAAGGAAAUUUAGAAAUGCCAUGAAGCUAGACAUGUAUAUAUAUUUAGAGAGAGAGAGAGAAUUCGGUUACUAUGCUAUCAAUAACAUCCGGAGCUUAAUGCUAUCAAAUUUUCUAUCGUUAGAUCUAUUUUGUUUAAUCAUUUCUACUCGUUAGAUCGUAUUAUUUUCCCAACUAUCCAACAUUCCUUCAUCAUCGAAAGGCUGAAACCUAAUAGCACGACUUGAUUCUAUUAAUAAUAUAGUAGCCUAGUUAUAUAUACAUGGAAGGUGAAAAAUUACUCUCUCUAUCUAUCCUU